rnacentral:rRNA from 1 species
GAUGAACGCUGGCGGCGUGCCUAAUACAUGCAAGUCGAGCGAACAGAUGAGGAGCUUGCUCCUCUGACGUUAGCGGCGGACGGGUGAGUAACACGUGGAUAACCUACCUAUAAGACUGGGAUAACUUCGGGAAACCGGAGCUAAUACCGGAUAAUAUAUUGAACCGCAUGGUUCAAUAGUGAAAGACGGUUUUGCUUUCACUUAUAGAUUGAUCCGCGCCGCAUUAGCUAGUUGGUAAGGUAACGGCUUACCAAGGCAACGAUGCGUAGCCGACCUGAGAGGGUGAUCGGCCACACUGGAACUGAGACACGGUCCAGACUCCUACGGGAGGCAGCAGUAGGGAAUCUUCCGCAAUGGGCGAAAGCCUGACGGAGCAACGCCGCGUGAGUGAUGAAGGUCUUCGGAUCGUAAAACUCUGUUAUUAGGGAAGAACAAAUGUGUAAGUAACUAUGCACGUCUUGACGGUACCUAAUCAGAAAGCCACGGCUAACUACGUG